CACGUAGGGCGCAAGCGUUGUCCGGAAUUAUUGGGCGUAAAGAGCUCGUAGGCGGUCCGUCACGUCCGCUGUGAAAACCCAGGGCUCAACCCUGGGCUUGCAGUGGAUACGGGCAGACUAGAGGUAGGUAGGGAGAAUGGAAUUCCCGGUGUAGCGGUGAAAUGCGCAGAUAUCGGGAGGAACACCGGUGGCGAAGGCGGUUCUCUGGGCCUUACCUGACGCUGAGGAGCGAAAGCGUGGGGAGCGAACAGG
rnacentral:rRNA from 1 species